AUUGAACGCUGGCGGCAGGCCUAACACAUGCCAGUCGAACGGUAACAGGAAGAAGCUUGCUUCUUUGCUGACGAGUAGCGGACGGGUGAGUAAUGUCUGGGAAACUGCCUGAUGGAGGGGGAUAACUACUGGAAACGGUAGCUAAUACCGCAUAACGUCGCAAGACCAAAGAGGGGGACCUUCGGGCCUCUUGCCAUCGGAUGUGCCCAGAUGGGAUUAGCUAGUAGGUGGGGUAACGGCUCACCUAGGCGACGAUCCCUAGCUGGUCUGAGAGGAUGACCAGCCACACUGGAACUGAGACACGGUCCAGACUCCUACGGGAGGCAGCAGUGGGGAAUAUUGCACAAUGGGCGCAAGCCUGAUGCAGCCAUGCCGCGUGUAUGAAGAAGGCCUUCGGGUUGUAAAGUACUUUCAGCGGGGAGGAAGGGAGUAAAGUUAAUACCUUUGCUCAUUGACGUUACCCGCAGAAGAAGCACCGGCUAACUCCGUG
rnacentral:rRNA from 1 species